AAGCGUUACAGCUCUUUUAGAAUUUGUCUAGCAGGGUUUCCAGUUUUGGCUGGAAAGCCAAA
rnacentral:snRNA from 1 species